rnacentral:rRNA from 1 species
GACGAACGCUGGCGGCGUGCUUAACACAUGCAAGUCGAACGGAAAGGCCUCUUUCGGGGGGUACUCGAGUGGCGAACGGGUGAGUAACACGUGAGUAACCUGCCCUUGACUUUGGGAUAACUUCAGGAAACUGGGGCUAAUACCGGAUAGGAGCUCCUGCUGCAUGGUGGGGGUUGGAAAGUUUCGGCGGUUGGGGAUGGACUCGCGGCUUAUCAGCUUGUUGGUGGGGUAGUGGCUUACCAAGGCUUUGACGGGUAGCCGGCCUGAGAGGGUGACCGGCCACAUUGGGACUGAGAUACGGCCCAGACUCCGACGGGAGGCAGCAGUGGGGAAUAUUGCACAAUGGAUGGAAGCCUGAUGCAGCAACGCCGUGUGCGGGAUGACGGCCUUCGGGUUGUAAACCGCUUUCGCUCAUGACGAAGCUUUGUGUGACGGUAGUGGGUAAAGAAGCACCGGCUAACUACGUG